rnacentral:pre_miRNA from 1 species
AGUGGGAUAGCUAGGUCAAAUGGUGGUUCCAUUCCAAGUUUUCUAAGGAAUCUCCAUAUUGCUUUCCAGAUUGAUUGCACCAAUUUGCAGUCCUACCAGCAAU